rnacentral:rRNA from 1 species
AUUGAACGCUGGCGGCAGGCUUAACACAUGCAAGUCGAGCGGAGAGAAGUAGCUUGCUACUGAUCUUAGCGGCGGACGGGUGAGUAAUGCUUAGGAAUCUGCCUAUUAGUGGGGGACAACAUUCCGAAAGGGAUGCUAAUACCGCAUACGCCCUACGGGGGAAAGCAGGGGAUCUUCGGACCUUGCGCUAAUAGAUGAGCCUAAGUCGGAUUAGCUAGUUGGUGGGGUAAAGGCCUACCAAGGCGACGAUCUGUAGCGGGUCUGAGAGGAUGAUCCGCCACACUGGGACUGAGACACGGCCCGGACUCCUACGGGAGGCAGCAGUGGGGAAUAUUGGACAAUGGGCGGAAGCCUGAUCCAGCCAUGCCGCGUGUGUGAAGAAGGCCUUUUGGUUGUAAAGCACUUUAAGCGAGGAGGAGGCUCUUAAGGUUAAUACCCUUGAUGAGUGGACGUUACUCGCAGAAUAAGCACCGGCUAACUCUGUGCCAGCCGCCGCUGUAACAC